GGAUGCGAUCAUACCAGCACUAAAGCACCGGAUCCCAUCAGAACUCUGAAGUUAAGCGUGCUUGGGCGAGAGUAGUACUUGGAUGGGUGACCUCCUGGGAAGUCCUCGUGUUGCAUUCC
rnacentral:rRNA from 1 species